rnacentral:lncRNA from 1 species
UAUUUUUCUAAAAGUAACGAACUAUUAUGAAUUUAGAAUUUUUCUGAUUUUACUAUAAAUUGGUAUCUGUGGUGAGUUUAUUGAAAGCGAACAUAUGUCUGGUAUACACAUCAAAAAAGAUAUCAGAGGUGAAGGAAGUUUUUACCGAGAUACAUGUACUUCCUCAAUUUAUCACUUCUGGCAUUACCCAUAAAUCUUACAGCGUUCACGUGACAACCAAAACGAUAUGGACAGUAUCUUGUCGAAUUUUUAUUUGUACACUCUCUGACCCAAACAAAAAAAAAUACAGUACUUAAUAUACAGAAUAAAAAUAAUAAAGCCUACAUUUUUACUGACACUUCAUUAGACAGUACAUAAUUGAUAACACUUUGAAAUAUAAAUAUAAAUAUAGAACAGCACAUGGAUACACAUCAUGGAAUAUUCAGAUUAUUCAGUUAGAAAAAUAGUAUAGCAACACUAGUCAACAGUAGAGAGUGUAAAACAAUAUAGAAUCUUCAUGUUCAUGAUAUAACAAGAUAAUAUACGUUAGACCAUAUCACAUUAGGAAUGUAACUUAUUUUUUCAGCAAUAUGUUUACUCUCAAAUUUGUUUACAUGGCUUC